rnacentral:lncRNA from 1 species
UAUCGCGAGAUCAGGAAGGUGGCCGAGUGUGUCGCCGCGGCCAUCAGGAUUUUUGAGCCACUUCUGAAAUUUUCGCGAACCAAGAAGAAUUUUAGUACUUGGAUUUGACUAACAUUUAUCCAAGCCCUUAGUCUGUACUGAUACUGUGUGGGAGACCCAGAAAAGAUGCUUUAGUUCCAGUCCAAGCAUGAAGAACCAAGGCCUGAGAACCAGAAGAGCCUCUGGU